rnacentral:rRNA from 1 species
UACGUAGGGCGCAAGCGUUGUCCGGAAUUAUUGGGCAUAAAGAGCUCGUAGGCGGUCUGUUACGUCCGCUGUGAAAACCCAGGGCUUAACCCUGGGCUUGCAGUGGAUACGGGCAGACUAGAGGCAGGUAGGGGAGAAUGGAAUUCCCGGUGUAGCGGUGAAAUGCGCAGAUAUCGGGAGGAACACCAAUGGCGAAGGCAGCUCGCUGGGACGGUACUGACGCUGAGGCGCGAAAGCGUGGGGAGCAAACAGG